CCUUUGGGUCUGCAACCCACCGGGAUACCCUAACUUUUGCCUAAGUCAAUCUUGUUUUCAAGCUUUUGACUUAGCGGGCUUUUUAUUUGCUUUUGAUUUUUUCAUUUCAUUUUUUUUUUAUUUGACCAAAUCCUGUGACCUCUGCUUUCUUGAUUUGUUGCAAGGUUCAUGACUAUCUCACUCCUUUUAUGGGUAAGGGAUAACCAUUAUGAAUUUGUGAUUCCAUC
rnacentral:lncRNA from 1 species